ensembl:lncRNA
UGUAAUCUGUUCCACAGUGCACUGCUCUUCUAGUGCUCCGUGGCUAGAGGUUUUAUUUUUAGGCAGCAAAUGUCAUUUAUUCAUGUUCAAGUCCUGCAGGGAAAAUGAGAGACUCUAUUUGCUCAGCUGGAGGGGCACGGGUGGGCUGUGCUGCUCCUGUGUAGACCAGCCAUGGAGUAACAGAGCACUGAAGAACCUCUCUUAGCUUUGUACCACAGCUAUAGUUUUGAUCGUGUGCAUAAAUAUUCUGCAGAGUGUUUGCCUUAAUUUAGACAUUUUGAUUGAUACUUUGAACUGACAAAGAACAGAUCAAUGCAAAUCAGGACAAAAGCUUGUGGGACUACUUAAGGAGAAUAUCCUUGAAGGUAACGGAGAUUACAGGUAAAUACUUCAAAGGAAUUAAGGCAUUAUCCUCCAAGAAGCUGACAAGACCAGCUGCCCAGCUGAACUGCCUUUAUGCCAACAUAUGCAGCUUGGGAAACAAACAGGAGGAGUUGGAAACCACUGUGCCACUGGAAAACCAUGAUGUAGUUGUCACCACUGAGACCUGGGUUAAAGAGGGAUGGAAAUACCCUUUUGUGCUAGAGAAAUUCAUCCAGAUGCCAUCUGUAAUGGCAGGAACAGCCAGCCCAAGGAA